rnacentral:rRNA from 1 species
ACGACGCUGGCGGCGUGCCUAAUACAUGCAAGUCGAACGGCUUUUCUAUGGAAGCUUGCUUCCACUGAGGAGAUAGUGGCGAACGGGUGAGUAACACGUGGGUAACCUGCCCAUAAGAGGGGGAUAACAUCCGGAAACGGGUGCUAAUACCGCAUAGUUUUCUUGAUCGCAUGAUCGGGAAAGGAAAGACGGCCUUUGUGCUGUCGCUUAUGGAUGGACCCGCGGCGUAUUAGUUAGUUGGUGAGGUAACGGCUCACCAAGACGAUGAUACGUAGCCGACCUGAGAGGGUGAUCGGCCACAUUGGGACUGAGACACGGCCCAAACUCCUACGGGAGGCAGCAGUAGGGAAUCUUCCGCAAUGGACGAAAGUCUGACGGAGCAACGCCGCGUGAGUGAAAGAAGGUUUUCGGAUCGUAAAACUCUGUUGUCAGAGAAGAACAAGUUGGAGAGUAACUGCUCCAGCCUUGACGGUAUCUGACCAGAAAGCCACGGCUAACUACGUGCCAGCCGCCGC